rnacentral:tRNA from 1 species
GGGCGAUUGGCGCAGCGGCUAGCGCAAUUCGUUCACACCGAAGGGGUCGUAGGUUCGAUUCCUACAUCGCCCA